UAAAGUUGUUUUAGUCUUCUGCAAAUUUUUAUUUCCAAAUCAUUCAAAUUUCCUUCAAUUGUUUCUUCUUUCAUAUACACCUUAUAACUAUGGAAGAUAUUCUUAUGAGUGGUGCAACAGGAAUUCUUAAAAAGCUGGUGGGUGCUGUUUCCAAAGACAUUGCUUUGGCUUGGGAUGUCAAAGAUGACUUGAAGAAGCUUCAAAGUACCUCGGAAACGAUUCUCGCUGUGAUUGCUGACGCAGAGAAAAGGCAAGAGAAGGAAGAACUUGUAAAACUCUGGUUGAGAAGGCUCAAGGAUAUUGCUUACGAUGCUGAUGACGUGAUUGAUGAGUUCUCCUAUGAGGAUAUGCUUCGCCGUGAUAGAGUGGAUAGCUCGAAGCAUAAGUUCGUAAGUUUCUUCCAGAUUUAUGAGGAUGGACUUCUCUUGAGGCAUUAGUAAUGUGGAACUGCCCACAAGUGAAGGAGUAUUUAACCUAUGAUCUAAACUCCCUCUCAUUUCUUAAAGCAUUGUAUUUGAUUUUAUUCAAAGAGACGACCACGACCUAGGAGAUCCAUCUGAUGUGGAGGACUUGAUUAAUUUAAUGAAGAAGUAGCAUGACUUGCAUGAGUCCAUCUCAGGCGUGCGAGUUGAUUUUUGGUUCUCUACUUCUCGGUUGGGUAUAUUCUUGCAUUGAACGAGAUUAAAUUGUGUGAUAUACAAAGAUUUUUGGCAGCGUAGGUAUUAAAACUGAGAUGAUGGUUUGGGUUGAGAUGCAAGUUCAGCAAUACCACCACCACCACCACCACUUUAAGAGUGAUUGAUCAAGCUUUGGAAAUCAGAGGGUAAUAUUUACCUAAUAACUACUCACUUAUCAUACUUAAUAAUGGUAUCUAUUGCUAGUAAGACGUAAGACACAUGAUUCUGCUUCAAUGUUUUGUCUAUUACACAUACAUAUGAAAUCUUAUGGCAGAUUCUGCUUUUGUUUUCAGUGUUACUACUUGGAUUCUGCAAAUGAAUGUUAUGCCCGCAUGUUAAGAUUAUUAGUCCCAUAGUGUAUGGGAAGUUUAAGAUCCUGCAAUUACUAGGAAUUUGUGUCCUUUGAUAAAAGACUAUUUGGUUUAUGAAAUUAUAUUUAUACGUAUUGGUCUCAACUGAGUCCAAGAGUGUGAAUUUAGUGAUUAUCAGUACUGUCUCAGGGAUGCUGAGUUGAUUCUCUACUAGUUGGUUGGUUGGCCUUUGGGUUUUUCUUUUUUCUUUUAUAUGAAUCCUCAUGAGUAGAGGAUGAAUGCCUGCAUUGAAUACUUUUGAUUUAAUUUGUCUUUCGUUGUACAGCUGCAUACAACUGCAUUGCAUGAAUAUUACAUGGGCAGUGGAGAUAUUAAGCUGAGACCAGGAUUUGGUUGAUUUAAUGUUGAAACCACUUAGUUCCUCUGUUGUUUCCGAACACCUUGGAUGGUUUUGUUCUUCCAAGAACAUCUGGAUCUAACUCUUCUAUUUGUUGGUACGUCUCGGUUUUCAGAUAUCCAUUGGAUGUAACAUUUUCAUUGUUAUUAGCUGCUUUAUAGCCCGAAUAAAAGAAUGCUUGAUUUGAUGUCGUGCCUGAAAACAUUAAUCCUAUGUUUCCUAGACUGUUUUGAUGUUUUUUUUAUGAACACUUGGAGAGAUGGUCGGUUAAAUGAAAUGCUAUUUGUUUCCUUCCUUGUA